rnacentral:lncRNA from 1 species
AUGAAAUCUCAUUAUGGAGUUAGCAGGUACGCCCUCUGGAAGGCCGUUUUUGUUAAUGGGCACUGCAGGGUCACAGGUGCAAGAAGCAUCACAGUUCCUACAGGAAAGGGACAGAGGAGCAGCCUGGAGGAUCCGAUCCUUUGUGGGAUUGGAAGUUGGGAGAGGUCACUUCCCCAUGAAUCCCAAGGAUCUAGGGGUCUAAAAGACUGUACCCACUACCUUCUCUGCAGACUCCCCAAUACUGCCUCCUCAGGGGAUGUUGUUAAGGAAAUUGAGCUUCCUGAGCCUUGCUCACUUAUAGCACACUGUCAUCUAGAAAACAGGAAUUGGUUGAUAUCUAUGUGUUUCUCAGACAGAACAUUUUCAAUAUAAACAUCACUUAUGCUGAACAUCAGUGAACUCCAUGGUUCGUGGCACGUGGGGAAGAAUUUUUAAUAACAACAUGUGAGAGGCUGAAAUCUUAAAAAUGGUUGUUGAAAAAGUAACAUUUGAUAGCUGCUUUUAAAACUAUUCAUGAAGAUGAAUUUGGGUUUUCUGAAGGUCCUGAUACAGAUAUUUCUGCUUAGGGCAGACUGUUGUGCACUGUACCAGGCGUCUGCAGGAGACUUGCUAGCCUCAUCUGUUAAAUGCCAUCUGGAAAAUAGGGCAUUCCCUUAAAGGGAAUGAUUAAAUAGGGACACUGCCUCAAGGGGUAGUUUUCGGCACAUUUAUACGGUGACUGAUAAAACCAUAUGGGUCCUGUAAGUCUAUUCUAAUUGAAUCAGCUUUUAUUGAAAGACAGAAUUGCUAUAAAUGCACUGAAUGGAUGAAUUCCAAGUAAAUGAUUCACACAGUAAAACAGCUAGGAAUAUUAAAACACUGGAAAUCAGAGCUGGGUGAAAGUUAGCAUUAAAAUAUAUAGUAUAUGUGUAAAAAUUGCAUUGUUACUCUGUGAUACACAUACAAGUCUGUAUCAUAUUUUCCCAUACAGACCACUAAUUCCAUUUUUUGAAUUGUCAGAAUUGCUCUGUUGUAUGGUUUGCAGAGGCAGUGUAAUAUACUGUUAACGCUCCAGAAUGACAGAAGCGAUGGUAAUGAGAAAGAAUAAUUUUGGAUAACAAGUCGAUUAUUGCAUGUUGAAGAUGCAUUUAAUCAUGAACUGCCUCAAUGUAGAAAUAAAGACUAGUUUCUUACAAGGUGGCUUUGUGUG